AAGGAGUUAUGAAGAUACCUCACUGAAAGCAAGCAGAAAGCUGGAAGGGAUGAAAGGGAAGCUCUGUAGGAGCCAUGCUACAGGACCUUGGAGACUGCCAAGGUGAAGUACACAAAUGGGUCCAGAUGAAUGAACAGACAUAUGGAUGGAUGGACAAACAUACAACAAUUUGAGUAGGCUGCAUCAGAAGUGAAGCCUGAACUGAGCAGAAGACCCUGGGACAGUUCUGUACCUGCAGGUUCCAGAACUUCACACUGAAUGUUGGGUAAUGCUAGAUGUCCUCCUCUUUAUGCAGUCCAGUCUCCAAAGGAAGCUUCACAAUGCCAGGCCAAGAUGAAAGAAGAGAGGCUGGAUAUCGCUUUUUGUCACAGCAACUGGGAGAAAGCAGCAAGAAAGUGAGGUUUAGUUCCCCUUGGGUCUCUGUUGUUCCCCUACUGGCCCGGGCAAGUGGCACCCAAUGUGUGGGGCUUGAGGUACAAAGAAAAAACCAGAACGUUGCUUGAGUGAAUGGCCAUUCCUCUACCUGAAUCACCACCUCAUUGGCAAGUGAAGAUUUUCACUGAAUCACCGCCUCAUUGGAAAGUGAAGAUUCACACAGUGAUCACCACAGAAGCCCGCCUGUGAUACAGAUCUGACUAAGGUACAGAAGGAACAUACCCAGGAGAUGACUAUCUUUGAAGAGAUUGUUUCUUUGUCAUUUUCACCAUGCUGAACCACAGAGGAGAGCACAGAGCUCAGUGGUGGAGGAAGAGAGGAG